UACGGGGGGGGCAAGCGUUGUUCGGAAUUACUGGGCGUAAAGGGCUCGUAGGCGGCCAACUAAGUCGGACGUGAAAUCCCCAGGCUCAACCUGGGAACUGCGUCCGAUACUGGAUGGCUUGAAUCCGGGAGAGGGAUGCAGAAUUCCAGGUGUAGCGGUGAAAUGCGUAGAUAUCUGGAGGAAUACCGAUGGCGAAGGCGGCAUCCUGGACCGGCAUUGACGCUGAGGAGCGAAAGCUAGGGGAGCAAACGGG
rnacentral:rRNA from 1 species